GCAAUGGGCGAAGCCUGAUGCAGCGACGCCGCGUGAGGGAUGACGGCCUUCGGGUUGUAAACCUCUUUCAGCAGGGAAGAAGCGAAAGUGACGGUACCUGCAGAAGAAGCGCCGGCUAACUACGUGCCAGCAGCCGCGGUAAUACGUAGGGCGCGAGCGUUGUCCGGAAUUAUUGGGCGUAAAGAGCUCGUAGGCGGCUUGUCGCGUCGGUUGUGAAAGCCCGGGGCUUAACCCCGGGUCUGCAGUCGAUACGGGCAGGCUAGAGUUCGGUAGGGGAGAUCGGAAUUCCUGGUGUAGCGGUGAAAUGCGCAGAUAUCAGGAGGAACACCGGUGGCGAAGGCGGAUCUCUGGGCCGAUACUGACGCUGAGGAGCGAAAGCGUGGGGAGCGAACAGGAUUAGAUACCCUGGUAGUCCACGCCGUAAACGGUGGGCACUAGGUGUGGGCGACAUUCCACGUCGUCCGUGCCGCAGCUAACGCAUUAAGUGCCCCGCCUGGGGAGUACGGCCGCAAGGCUAAAACUCAAAUGAAAUUGACGGA
rnacentral:rRNA from 1 species